CCGCAGCCUGAUGUCUAACCCCUCAGCCUGAGGUCUAACCCCACAGCCUGAUGUCUAACCCCACAGCCUGAGGUAUAACCCCACAGCCUGAGGUCUAACCCCUCAGCCUGAGGUCUAACCCCACAGCCUGAGGUCUAACCCCACAGCCUGAGGUCUAACCCCACAGCCUGAUGUCUAACCCCACAGCCUGAUGUCUAACCCCUCAGCCUGAGGUCUAACCCCACAGCCUGAUGUCUAACCCCUCAG